CCUACGGGAGGCUGCAGUCGGGAAUAUUGCGCAAUGGAGGAAACUCUGACGCAGUGACGCCGCGUAUAGGAAGAAGUUUUUCGGAAUGUAAACCUCUGUCGUCAGGGAAGAGAAAGGCCAGUACCUAAGGAGGAAGCUCCGGCGAACUACGUGCAAGCAGCAGCGGUAAUACGUAGGGAGGGAGCGUUAUCCGGAAUUAUUGGGUGUAAAGGGUGCGUAGACGGGAGAACAAGUUAGUUGUGAAAUCCCUCGGCUUAACGUAGGAACUGCAACUGAAACUGUUUUUCUUGAGUGCAGGAGAGGUAAGUGGAAUUCCUAGUGUAGCGGUGAAAUGCGUAGAUAUUAGGAGGAACACCAGUGGCGAAGGCGACUUACUGGACUGUAACUGACGUUGAGGCACGAAAGUGUGGGGAGCAAACAGGAUUAGAUACCCUUGUAGUC
rnacentral:rRNA from 1 species